rnacentral:tRNA from 1 species
GAGCUCAGUCCAGUAGAGCGUGAGACUUAAUCUCAGGGCUACGGGUUCAAGCCCCAGCUUGGGCA